UGCAGCUUUGUCAAAUUCAGUGCACCCUUUUGUAAGAUGCACUGGCCAAAAUGGCUGCAACAGUAACUGUAGUUCAUGGGCCUCAACUUCUCUUCAGUGGAAUUUGGGGAUAAGUGUGUCCUUCAGACAGUU
ensembl:snoRNA Small nucleolar RNA SNORA5